AAAAAAAAAAUUUCCUCCAAUUAUAUAAGAUAUAUGAUGAACGACUCCGUGUUCUGAACACAUUGAAAAAUUUUCUCCAGAUAAGAUUCACCUCAUCUUGCAAGAGGAUUGGAUUGGGAAACAAAAAAAAUUCCAACUAAUUGGAAAUCAAAUUUCCAUUUUCUUACGUGCGCAAUUACUCUCCACUUUUCCACACGUGGUAGAGAAGACCUUCCUUCCCCUGUUCUCAUCGCAGACUCUUAUUCUUCCCCAAAGGUCUCGUCUUUCAGACCAAGCAAGCAGGUUUUGGUUGGUUCGUCUCUCCAUUCGUCUGUCCAGAACCAUUGAAUUCCGCAUUCAACGAUUGGGAUGAUAAUCCCAAUGACACUUGGCACUUUCGGGUUUUGAUUUGCUUCCACAGAUGACGUCGUGAAUUAUCUCGAAAAGAUGGGAGAUUGGUGUUUGGCAUUGAUGGUUCUUGGUUUUUCUUAUCUUUUGUGAAAAACCCAGAUGGAAGGUUUGACAUUUCUGGAUGGCUAAUUGUGUGGUGUUAGUUUUUAAUCUUCAUGGGGUACAUUGAAUUUUGAGAACAAGAGCUUCCCUCGGUUUUUGUUAGUUUUUUGUCUAUAUGGAGCACCUUCCAGUUGAAGUCAUAGGCAACAUACUAUCCCGGCUUAAAGCUGCCCGAGAUGUGGUGAUUGCAUCUGCGACUUGUAAGAAAUGGAGAGAGGCUUGGCACAAUCACCUCCACACUCUUUCUUUUAAUUCCAAUGAUUGGUCCGUCUAUCAUGAUCUGACAACAAGUAGAUUGGAAAUUCUUAUAACUCAAACAAUUUUCCAAACUACAUCAUUGCAGUGUUUAUCAAUUUUAAUGGAUGAUGUUGAUGAAUUUUCAGCUGCCCCAGUGAUUGCUUGGCUCAUGUAUACCCGGGACACCUUGCAGCAACUGCAUUAUAAUGUGAGGACUACUCCGAUUGUGAAUAUCAUUGAGAAAUGCAGUCGGCAGAAGCUUGAAGUCUUGGCAUUGGCUUAUAAUUCUGUAACAGGUGUUGAACCCAGUUAUGAGAAAUUUCCAUGCUUGAAGUCACUUUCGCUAAGUUAUGUCAGUAUCUCAGCAUGGGAUUUGAGCCUUUUGCUUACCGCAUGCCCAAAACUUCAGAAUUUGGCUCUUGUUAAUCCUGAUAUUGCCAUGUCGGAUGCACAGGCAACCAUGGAACUUAAUAGUCCUUCUCUAAAAGAUAUCUAUGUGGAAGCUGUCAGUUUGGAUAAGUUCAUACUAGAGGCUGAUAGCAUUGAGAAUCUGCACCUGAAAGAUUGUACCCUCGAGCUUUUUGAGCUUAUUGGUGAGGGGUCACUGAGAGUUUUGAAGAUCGAUGAUGUUAGUGUCCUCCAUCUUGAUAUUGGUGAUAACACUGAGAAUCUUCAGAUUGUGGAUGUUAGCAGCUUCACUAUCAUGUGGCCAAAGUUCUAUAACAUGAUCUCAAAAUCGUCAAAUUUAAAGAGGCUUCGGCUCUGGGGUGUUGUAUUUGAUGAUGAGGAUGGGGUUGUGGAUUUGGAGACUGUUUCUUCUUGCUUCCCUCAGUUAAGCCACUUAUCAUUAAGUUAUGACUUAAAAGAUGUUUGUGGCUUGCAGGGGUCAUCGCAUUUGGAGAACGUGGUUGUGUUAGAACUUGGAUGGACUAUAAUCAGUGAGCUCUUCUCAGACUGGGUAGCUGGAUUUCUAGAAAGAUGCCCUAAUUUGAAGAAGUUAGUCAUUUAUGGGGUAGUUUCAGAAGCCAAAUCCCAUGAAGAGUGCCGAGUUUUAGCAAGCUUCACCUCUUCCAUUGUCCGGCUGAUGAGAAAAUAUCUGCAUGUAGAGGUACAAUUCGAUUAUGAAUAGAAGACUAGAAGUCGUGCUGACUGCAUUGAUGCCUGUUGAAAUAUUUGUUGAGCGUGAUUGUACAAUAAGUGCGGUUAAUUUUGGGAUAAUUUUGGGUUGAAGCCGCUUAUGGUACUUCUAUAUGACUACCAGACUGAAUAUGGUGCAUGGGUUUGGUAUCAUUUAUCGCCCCCUUGCUUGAACAGAAGCACGUGGAGGAAGAGGGUUUUCGAUGCUUGAAGUAGUUUCUGGUAGUUAUGUUGGAAGCUGCGGGAGACUGCGAUUUGAGAAGUAGUUGUGACGACUUGAGAGUUAGUUGUUAUGAGAGACUGCAGAAUCAAAGACGUGAAUGAAGGGUUGAGUUGAGGGAAAAGGUUUACGUGACAGCGAUUUGAGAAUUAGUUGUGAUGACUUUUUGGUCCUUGGGAAUAAUAUAACGUUGAGAAAUUAUUCAGUGUGUGUGAUAGUAACGCUACUUGGAAACGCAAGAUGCUGUCUUCUUUAAGUUUGAACCUGAAUCAUUUUUAGGUUAAAUUUUAUGCGUGAUGCAUUGUAAAAAAGCUAGACUCUAAAUGAUCAUCGAUCCCAUCACUAAAUACUUGUACUGUCAA